UUCAGGAUAAAAGCUCAGGUCUAUCUGAGAAGACCCAUCUCCCUCUCACUCGUACCUUUAGCAGAGCAUGGCUGUCCUGGUGCUGCUCCUCUGCCUGGUGACCUUUCCAAGCUGCGUCCAGUCCCAGGAUCAGCUGAAGGAAUCAGGACCAGGCCUGGUGCAGCCCUCACAAACCCUGUCUCUCACCUGCACUGUCUCUGGGUUCUCAUUAACCAGCUACAAUAUGCACUGGGUUCGCCAGCCUCCAGGAAAGGGUCUGGAGUGGAUGGGAGCAAUUUGGUAUAAUGGAGGCACAGAUUAUAAUUCAGCUCUGAAAUCCAGAGUCACCAUCACCAGGGACACGUCCAAGAGCCAAGUUUUCUUAAAACUGAACAGUCUGCAAACUGAGGACACAGCCAUGUAUUACUGUGCGGGAGACACAGUGAGAGAACUCCAGUGUGAACCUGCACCAAAACCUCUCUGCAGAGAAAAUCAUUACCAGCAGGUGGCACUGAGAAUCAACAGAAACUCUUCAGGACCAGUAAUUGUCACUUCAGAAUCUGGGAAGUAUUGACCUCUGCUGUAUGAG